rnacentral:lncRNA from 1 species
CCAUGGAAUCUAUCCCAUGGCAGUUUCACACAUUUCAAUGCAGGCGAAAGUAAGUUAGCAUGUGGACAUAACUGAGGUUAACCUAGAAUUUGGCUCCCAUCCCACAAGAAGCAAAGAAGGGCAGGCAGGCCCCUUUCGCAUUUCAAAAAUUUGCUACCAUGACUGGCUAGAUUUCCAAGUAUAAUGAUGAUCAUUGGCUCUCCAGGCUUCUCCUGACCCACUUCAUUAGUUGCAUACUGUGCUUAGUCUAAAAUUGACGUCAUUUGAUUGGACUGCUCUAUCAAUCAAUAACAGCAUUUUGUAAAAUACAGUACUGGCGAAAAAAACAACAACAACAACUACAGGUCAAAGAAUGAGAAGUGAUUUUCGGCAGUUACUCUGGGUCUGCAUGAGGCAGAGAGAGAGAGAGUUAUAGCUACAAUAUCAAUGUUAUGCGAGAGAAGAGAGACAUUUACAGAAAAAGAAAGUGAGCAACUGAAGUAUGGAAAGAUAGGAAAUAAGAAAACUAAACAUCUCUGAGGCAGUUUAGGGUGCAAUUUAAAAUCUGCAGAAGUGGUACAAGAUGGCAGAAGGAUAAGAUAACCACCUUCUAAUAAAGGAUUUGAUUUUUAAUGUGGUGAGUAGUGUGGCUCCAAAGAGUGGUGGUUUUUUUUUUAAUUGGGUUGCCCACUGGAGGAAGGAAAGAGAAGGAAGAAGCAGGCUAUGGAUGUUUAAAACCAACUGGAACUAUUAAGAUCAUGCGUGAGGCUGCUGUUCCAUGGGCAGAACCAGAGAGUUCCACUGUGGGAAACCUGCAGCACUUUGCUGGCUGCCCCCACUAGCAACUGUCAUCGUGGAAAUCGGCAGCAAGCUGCCACGGAAGAAGCCUGAGCAAAUUAAAAAAGAAACAAGAAAGAUCGGGAGUUGGUCUUUUUUUAAGAAAAUAAAAGUAACUUAGUUGUGGGAAAAUAUCAGUCUCUGGAAUCAACACCUUCAUGACUGUGAUAGAAAUGGCUAUGAAACCAAACCGUGGACUCCAAUCUCAGGUAUGAUGCCUCCCACUUCUAUGACCUUAGAUAAGUCAUUCAUCUCCU